rfam:Kiritimatiella glycovorans strain L21-Fru-AB chromosome, complete genome.
GAGAGCCGGAUGCGGGAAAUCCGCAUGUCCGGUUCGACGAGGGGGAGGGCAGUCCGCGGUCAUUGGCUCUAAGCCUCUCAUCCCGUGGCUCCCUCUCUACUCUAC